rnacentral:tRNA from 1 species
GGUACCGUGGCCGAGGGGCUAGGCAGAGGUCUGCAAAACCUUUUACAGCAGUUCGAAUCUGCUCGGUACCUCCA